UACAGAGGGUGCAAGCGUUGUUCGGAAUUAUUGGGCGUAAAGGGCGCGUAGGCGGUGCUGUAAGUCUGUAGUGAAAUCUCUGGGCUCAACUCAGAGUCUGCUAUAGAAACUGCAGUGCUGGAGUGUGGGAGAGGUGAGUGGAAUUCCCGGUGUAGCAGUGAAAUGCGUAGAGAUCGUAAGGAAGACCAGUGGCGAAGGCGGGUCUCUGGACAGUUCCUGACGCUGAGGCACGAAGGCCAGGGGAGCAAACGGG
rnacentral:rRNA from 1 species